rnacentral:rRNA from 1 species
AGAGUUUGAUCGUGGCUAAAAAGAACGCUGGCGGCAGGCCUAACACAUGCAAGUCGAGCGGUAGCACAGAGAGCUUGCUCUCGGGUGACGAGCGGCGGACGGGUGAGUAAUGUCUGGGAAACUGCCUGAUGGAGGGGGAUAACUACUGGAAACGGUAGCUAAUACCGCAUAACGUCGCAAGACCAAAGAGGGGGACCUUCGGGCCUCUUGCCAUCAGAUGUGCCCAGAUGGGAUUAGCUAGUAGGUGGGGUAACGGCUCACCUAGGCGACGAUCCCUAGCUGGUCUGAGAGGAUGACCAGCCACACUGGAACUGAGACACGGUCCAGACUCCUACGGGAGGCAGCAGUGGGGAAUAUUGCACAAUGGGCGCAAGCCUGAUGCAGCCAUGCCGCGUGUAUGAAGAAGGCCUUCGGGUUGUAAAGUACUUUCAGCGGGGAGGAAGGUGUUGUGGUUAAUAACCACAGCAAUUGACGUUACCCGCAGAAGAAGCACCGGCUAACUCCGUGCCAGCAGCCGCGGUAAUACGGAGGGUGCAAGCGUUAAUCGGAAUUACUGGGCGUAAAGCGCACGCAGGCGGUCUGUCAAGUCGGAUGUGAAAUCCCCGGGCUCAACCUGGGAACUGCAUUCGAAACUGGCAGGCUAGAGUCUUGUAGAGGGGGGUAGAAUUCCAGGUGUAGCGGUGAAAUGCGUAGAGAUCUGGAGGAAUACCGGUGGCGAAGGCGGCCCCUGGACAAAGACUGACGCUCAGUGCGAAAGCGUGGGGAGCAAACAGGAUUAGAUACCCUGGUAGUCCACGCCGUAAACGAUGUCGACUUGGAGGUUGUGCCCUUGAGGCGUGGCUUCCGGAGCUAACGCGUUAAGUCGACCGCCUGGGGAGUACGGCCGCAAGGUUAAAACUCAAAUGAAUUGACGGGGGCCCGCACAAGCGGUGGAGCAUGUGGUUUAAUUCGAUGCAACGCGAAGAACCUUACCUACUCUUGACAUCCAGAGAACUUAGCAGAGAUGCUUUGGUGCCUUCGGGAACUCUGAGACAGGUGCUGCAUGGCUGUCGUCAGCUCGUGUUGUGAAAUGUUGGGUUAAGUCCCGCAACGAGCGCAACCCUUAUCCUUUGUUGCCAGCGGUUAGGCCGGGAACUCAAAGGAGACUGCCAGUGAUAAACUGGAGGAAGGUGGGGAUGACGUCAAGUCAUCAUGGCCCUUACGAGUAGGGCUACACACGUGCUACAAUGGCGCAUACAAAGAGAAGCGACCUCGCGAGAGCAAGCGGACCUCAUAAAGUGCGUCGUAGUCCGGAUUGGAGUCUGCAACUCGACUCCAUGAAGUCGGAAUCGCUAGUAAUCGUAGAUCAGAAUGCUACGGUGAAUACGUUCCCGGGCCUUGUACACACCGCCCGUCACACCAUGGGAGUGGGUUGCAAAAGAAGUAGGUAGCUUAACCUUCGGGAGGGCGCUUACCACUUUGUGAUUCAUGACUGGGGUGAAGUCGUAACAAGGUA